GCCUAACAUGCAAGUCGAACGGUAACAGGAUAGCAAUAUCGCUGACGAGUGGCGUACGGGCGCUUUAACGCGUACACAAUCUGCCUUAUACUGGAGCAUACCCCCAAGAAAUUGGGACUAAUUCUCCAUAAUAUAUUUGGAUGGCAUCAUUUGAAUAUUAAAACUCCGGUGGUAUAAGAUGAGUGUGCGUCCGAUUAGGUAGUUGGUGAGGUAACGGCUCACCAAGCCGACGAUCGGUAGCUGGUCUGAGAGGACGAUCAGCCACACGGGCACUGAGACACGGGCCCGACUCCUACGGGAGGCAGCAGUAGGGAAUAUUGGACAAUGGGCGCAAGCCUGAUCCAGCCAUCCCGCGUGAAGGAUUAAGGCCCUAUGGGUUGUAAACUUCUUUUCUCUGGGAAUAAAAAGCGGGGUUCACCCUGCCUUGAAGGUAUCAGAGGAAUAAGCACCGGCUAACUCCGUGCCAGCAGCCGCGGUAAUACGGAGGGUGCAAGCGUUAUCCGGAUUCACUGGGUUUAAAGGGAGCGUAGGUGGCUUUGUAAGUCAGUGGUGAAAUGUCGCAGCUUAACUGCGAAACUGCCAUUGAUACUGCUUAGCUUGAAUCACGUCGAGGUGGAUGGAAUAUUACAUGUAGCGGUGAAAUGCUUAGAUAUGUAAUAGAACACCGAUUGCGAAGGCAGUUCACUAGGCGUGUAUUGACACUGAGGCUCGAAAGCGUGGGGAUCAAACAGGAUUAGAUACCCUGGUAGUCCACGCCCUAAACGAUGUAAACUCGACAUUAGCGAUAUACUGUUAGUGUCCAAGCGAAAGCGUUAAGUUUACCACCUGGGAAGUACGACCGCAAGGUUGAA
rnacentral:rRNA from 1 species